rnacentral:rRNA from 1 species
UACGUAGGGGCAAGCGUUAUCCGGAAUCAUUGGGCGUAAAGGGUGCGUAGGCGGCCCUAUAGGUCAGAGGUCAAAGGCUACGGCUCAACCGUAGUAAGCCUUUGAAACUGUAGGGCUUGAGUGCAGGAGAGGAGAGUGGAAUUCCUAGUGUAGCGGUGAAAUGCGUAGAUAUUAGGAGGAACACCAGUGGCGAAGGCGACUCUCUGGACUGCAACUGACGCUGAGGCGCGAAAGUGUGGGGAGCAAACAGGAUUAGAUACCCUGGUA